rnacentral:lncRNA from 1 species
CUGGCCAGCUGCUUGUUCUUCCAGUACAGGAACAGGAAAAUGUCAGCUUGAGAAUCCAGCAGCUACAGAAAACUGGGUCAGUCUCACUGCUGAGGAAAGUUCCCUGUUGUCAGUGUGGAGACCAGGAGAGGUAAAAGGUAAGAGGUGUCUCUCUUUUUUUUUGUAUUGCUCACUUGUUCCUAACAACUCCUCCAAGCAAUACUUCUA